AUUGAACGCUGGCGGCAGGCCUAACACAUGCAAGUCGAACGAGUGGCGGACGGGUGAGUAAUGUGUGGGAAACUGCCUCAUGGAGGGGGAUAACUACUGGAAACGGUAGCUAAUACCGGAUACCAUCGUAGUUGCCCAGCUGGGAGUAGCUAGUAGGUGGGUUAAAGGCUCACCUAGGCGACGAUCCCUAGCUGGUCUGAUAGGCGGACCAGCCAAACGGGAACGGAGACACGGUCCAGAUUCCAACGGGAGGAGGAAGGGGGGAAUAUGGGAAAAUGGGGGCAAGCUUGAUGCAGACCUGCCGCGUGUAGGAGGCAGGCCUUCGGGUGGUAAGCUACUUUCAGCGGGGAGGCGGUACCCGAAGAGGAAGCCACGGCUAACUACGUGCCAGCAGCCGCGGUAAUUC
rnacentral:rRNA from 1 species